UAAAACCACGGAGAGACAAGAUCAUCUUGGGUGUUUCAGCAGAUUCCUACUUCUACCUCGUCUUGUCAUUCAUUAUAUUCCAACCACAGGCCUCUGAGAAUUUCUUCAACAUGAGAAGAUUUGUCUUAUCCAUACGGCUUUUAGACCUGCCAUUCCCACUGCUGUUCUUUCACACCCACCGCCUAAAACACAUCACCCAUGUUCUCCACAGAUAAUUCCUAUGAAAGCCUCCUGCUAAUUGUUUGUAUCUCAGCUCAUACCUCAUUUCCUUAGAGCAGACUUUUCUGAUGAAUUCUUCAUCAAUCUAAAU
rnacentral:lncRNA from 10 species